rnacentral:rRNA from 1 species
AGCGAACGCUGGCGGCAGGCCUAACACAUGCAAGUCGAACGAACUCUCCGGAGUUAGUGGCGGACGGGUGAGUAACACGUGGGAACGUGCCUUUAGGUUCGGAAUAACUCAGGGAAACUUGUGCUAAUACCGAAUGUGCCCUUCGGGGGAAAGAUUUAUCGCCUUUAGAGCGGCCCUCGUCUGAUUAGCUAGUUGGUGGGGUAAUGGCCCACCAAGGCUACGAUCAGUAGCUGGUCUGAGAGGAUGACCAGCCACAUUGGGACUGAGACACGGCCCAAACUCCUACGGGAGGCAGCAGUGGGGAAUCUUGCGCAAUGGGCGAAAGCCUGACGCAGCCAUGCCGCGUGUAUGAUGAAGGUCUUAGGAUUGUAAAAUACUUUCACCGGUGAAGAUAAUGACUGUAGCCGGAGAAGAAGCCCCGGCUAACUUCGUGCCAGCCGCCGCGGUAAUAC